CGUGCAUAUGAAAAGAAAGCGGAAGGCAGAGAGGAACGGGAACCGCGUUUGUCCAAUGGCAGCGCAGAAACACGCCCACCUGACAGACUAGCGCGAACGUGGAGGAGGAUUCUCUAAUAUGGACUGUACAUCAUUAAAAUACUGCAAUUUCAUGCCUGGGCAUGCUCCUGAUGAGGUGGCGGAUGGUGUCCUGGGGGAUCUCUUCCCAGACAUGGACUAAAGUAUCCGCCAGCUCCUGGACAGUAUGUGGUGCACCGUGGCUUUGGUGGAUAGAGCGAGACGUGAUGUCCCAGAUGUGCUCGACUGGAUAUAGGUCUGGGGAACGGGUAGGCCAGUCCAUAGCAUUAAUGCCUUUGUCUUGCAGGAACUGCUGACACACUCCAGCCACAUGAAGUCUAGCAUUGUCUUGCAUUAGGAGGAACCCAGGCCCAACAACACCAGCAUAUGGCCUCACAAGGGGUCUAAGGAUCUCAUCUCGGUACCUAAUGGCAGUCAGGCUACCUCUGGCGAGCACAUGGAGGGCUGUUCAGCCCCACAAAGAAAUGCCACCCCAAACCGUUACUGACCCACUGCCAAACCGGUCAUGCUGGAGGAUGUUGCAGGCAGCAGAAUGUUCUCCAUCGUGUCUCCAGACUCUGUCACGUCUGUCAUAAUGUGCUCAAUGUGAACCUGCAUUCAUCUGUGAAGAGCACAGGGCACCUGUGGCAAAGUUCCCAAUCUUGGUGUUCUCUGGCAAAUGCCAAACGUCCUGCACGGUGUUGGGCUGUAAGUACAAUCCCCACCUGUGGACAUCGGGCCUUCAUCCCACCCUCAUGGAGUCUGUUUCUGACCGUUUGAGCAGACACAUGCACAUUUGUGGCCGGCUGGAGGUCAUUUUGCAGAGCUCUGGCAGUGCUCCUCCUGUUCUUCCUUGCAGCAGGAGGUAUCAGUCCUGCUGCUGGGUUGUUGCUCUCCUAUGGCCUCCUGUAGCUUGAUUUCACAGAAGUGUGAUUGACUUGGAGUUACAUUGUGUCUUUAAGUUUUCCAGUUUUCUGUUUUUUUUAGCAGUGGAUAAUCAAAAGUGUGUUACAUGCUUAAAUGAUAAAAUAAUUAUUGUGGGUGAUUUUAACAUUUUAACAUGAUUUUAACAUCCAUGUAGAUGCUAAAAAU